rnacentral:rRNA from 1 species
AGCAGUGGGGAAUUUUGGACAAUGGGCGCAAGCCUGAUCCAGCAAUACCGCGUGAGUGAAGAAGGCCUUCGGGUUGUAAAGCUCUUUUGUCAGGGAAGAAACGGCUGAGGAUAAUACCUUUGGCUAAUGACGGUACCUGAAGAAUAAGCACCGGCUAACUACGUGCCAGCAGCCGCGGUAAUACGUAGGGUGCAAGCGUUAAUCGGAAUUACUGGGCGUAGAGCGUGCGCAGGCGGUUUUGUAAGUCUGACGUGAAAUCCCCGAGCUUAACUUGGGGAAUUGCGUUGGAGACUGCAAGGCUAGAGUCUGGCAGAGGGGGGUAGAAUUCCACGUGUAGCAGUGAAAUGCGUAGAGAUGUGGAGGACACCGAUGGCGAGCAGCCCCUGGGUCAGACUGACGCUCAUG